rnacentral:rRNA from 1 species
UCCUACGGGUGGCAGCAGUGGGGAAUAUUGCACAAUGGGGGAAACCCUGAUGCAGCCAUGCCGCGUGUGUGAAGAAGGCCUUCGGGUUGUAAAGCACUUUCAGCGAGGAGGAAAGGUGGCUAGCUAAUACCUAGUUGCUGUGACGUUACUCGCAGAAGAAGCACCGGCUAACUCCGUGCCAGCAGCCGCGGUAAUACGGAGGGUGCAAGCGUUAAUCGGAAUUACUGGGCGUAAAGCGCACGCAGGCGGUUAGAUAAGUCAGAUGUGAAAGCCCCGGGCUCAACCUGGGAACUGCAUUUGAAACUGUCUGACUAGAGUCUUGUAGAGGGGGGUAGAAUUCCAGGUGUAGCGGUGAAAUGCGUAGAGAUCUGGAGGAAUACCGGUGGCGAAGGCGGCCCCCUGGACAAAGACUGACGCUCAGGUGCGAAAGCGUGGGGAGCAAACAGGAUUAGAUACCCCAGUAGUCGGG